rnacentral:lncRNA from 1 species
GAGCCUAGAAGUAGGAGUUUCUUUCGGAUCUACAAACCCUUACGCUUAACCUGGGGCAGGGUAGUGUUCAGUUAGUCUGACUACACAUUCAAAUUACAAAGAUGAAAUAUCCCAUACAAGGAUCAACCAUAUGACAUUCUUCGCACACAUCCUGAAGUGUCGAAGGAACCGUACAAAUCCAAAAUCUAUGUCGGUUGUUCUUUAAUGACGAAUGACUUGGCAGUCACAAUUUCAAAAAAAAAGAGUCAAAGAAACAGCCC